AUUGAACGCUGGCGGCAGGCUUAACACAUGCAAGUCGAGCGGAGAUGAGGUGCUUGCACCUUAUCUUAGCGGCGGACGGGUGAGUAAUGCUUAGGAAUCUGCCUAUUAGUGGGGGACAACAUUCCGAAAGGAAUGCUAAUACCGCAUACGCCCUACGGGAGAAAGCAGGGGAUCUUCGGACCUUGCGCUAAUAGAUGAGCCUAAGUCGGAUUAGCUAGUUGGUGGGGUAAAGGCCUACCAAGGCGACGAUCUGUAGCGGGUCUGAGAGGAUGAUCCGCCACACUGGGACUGAGACACGGCCCAGACUCCUACGGGAGGCAGCAGUGGGGAAUAUUGGACAAUGGGGGGAACCCUGAUCCAGCCAUGCCGCGUGUGUGAAGAAGGCCUUAUGGUUGUAAAGCACUUUAAGCGAGGAGGAGGCUACUGAGACUAAUACUCUUGGAUAGUGGACGUUACUCGCAGAAUAAGCACCGGCUAACUCUGUGCAGCCGCCGCCGUAAAAC
rnacentral:rRNA from 1 species